rnacentral:rRNA from 1 species
UACGGAGGGUGCAAGCGUUAUCCGGAUUCACUGGGUUUAAAGGGUGCGUAGGAGGACAGGUAAGUCAGUGGUGAAAUCUCCGAGCUUAACUUGGAAACUGCCGUUGAUACUAUCUGCCUUGAAUAUUGUGGAGGUGAGCGGAAUAUGUCAUGUAGCGGUGAAAUGCUUAGAUAUGACAUGGAACACCAAUUGCGAAGGCAGCUCGCUACACAUAUAUUGACUCUGAGGCACGAAAGCGUGGGGAUCAAACAGG